GGAAAAACAUAAAAAUGCAAACUGGGUAUUUGUGAUGUCUCAUCAAACUGGCUUCCUAUCAAGUAGGAUUCUUCCAGAUUUCCCUAACAUUUGAGCUGUGAAGCAGCUUGAGUGAAAGCCAAGCUUCAGAAUAGUGGGGAUAGUUCGACUGGACCAAAAAUGUGUUUGUCCAGCUGAAACUAGAGAUUGGGAGCAAACCCAAGUGAUAAAGUCAUUAUGGAGACUGAUUGCGAUGCUUUUUCCAGUUGGAACAAGUGAAAUGGCAGAAAACAGAGUAAACACGUGCCAGUUCAUGGUCCAUGAGGGGCUCCCAGAGCUUACUCCUGGCGUCACAGCACUAGAUCUGGUUGCAGGAACAUUUCAU
rnacentral:lncRNA from 1 species